rnacentral:rRNA from 1 species
ACUACGGGUGGCAGCAGUGGGGAAUAUUGCACAAUGGGGGAAACCCUGAUGCAGCGACGCCGCGUGAGUGAAGAAGUAUUUCGGUAUGUAAAGCUCUAUCAGCAGGGAAGAAAAUGACGGUACCUGAUUAAGAAGCCCCGGCUAACUACGUGCCAGCAGCCGCGGUAAUACGUAGGGGGCAAGCGUUAUCCGGAUUUAAUUGGUGUAAAGGGAGCGUAGACGGCAGCACAAGUCUGGAGUGAAAUGCCGGGGCUUAACCCCGGAACAGCUUUGGAAACUGUGCAGCUAGAGUGCAGGAGAGGUAAGUGGAAUUCCGAGUGUAGCGGUGAAAUGCUUAGAUAGUAGGAGGAACACCAGUGGCGAAGGCGGCUUACUGGACUGUAACUGACGUUGAGGCUCGAAAGCGUGGGGAGCAAACAGGAUUAGAUACCCCUGUAGUC